rnacentral:rRNA from 1 species
AACGAACGCUGGCGGCAUGCCUAACACAUGCAAGUCGAACGAGACCUUCGGGUCUAGUGGCGCACGGGUGCGUAACGCGUGGGAACCUGCCCUUAGGUUCGGAAUAACUCCCCGAAAGGGGUGCUAAUACCGGAUAAUGUCUUCGGACCAAAGAUUUAUCGCCUUUGGAUGGGCCCGCGUUGGAUUAGCUAGUUGCUAGGGUAAAAGCCUACCAAGGCGACGAUCCAUAGCUGGUCUGAGAGGAUGAUCAGCCACACUGGGACUGAGACACGGCCCAGACUCCUACGGGAGGCAGCAGUGGGGAAUAUUGGACAAUGGGCGAAAGCCUGAUCCAGCAAUGCCGCGUGAGUGAUGAAGGCCUUAGGGUUGUAAAGCUCUUUUACCCGGGAUGAUAAUGACAGUACCGGGAGAAUAAGCUCCGGCUAACUCCGUG